GGACUACCAGGGUAUCUAAUCCUAUUCGAUACCCUUGCCUUCGUUCCUUGAUGUCGGUUGUUAUAGAGGUUUGUCUGCACUUUUAUCAGUCCUCAAAGUAUUUUAAUAUUCUAUCAUUACACUAUUAGUACUAAAUACCUCUUCCUCAAAACUCUAGUUCUAAUAUAAUAUAUUUGAUUAUAAAACCCCCUUUAGGUUAAUGUUUAUAUAGAUAUAUUAUGAACCAUCUAGGAACCCUUUAAACCUAAUAAAGAUGAAAAACACUAGUCUAUAUUGUAUUACCGCGGCUGCUGGCAC
rnacentral:rRNA from 1 species